rnacentral:rRNA from 1 species
UACAACAUAGCAUUAAUGCACCAGAUCCUAUUAGAACUCCUCAGUUAAGCAUUCUCAUGCUAGAGUAGUGUUGAGAUGGAUGAUUUCUCGGUAAUUCCUAGUGUUUUAC